CCUACGGGUGGCAGCAGUGGGGAAUAUUGCACAAUGGGGGGAACCCUGAUGCAGCAAUGCCGCGUGGGUGAAGAAGCACUCCGGUGCGUAAAGCCCUGUCAGCAGGGAAGAAAAUGACAGUACCUGGACAAGAAGCCCCGGCUAACUACGUGCCAGCAGCCGCGGUAAUACGUAGGGGGCAAGCGUUAUCCGGAUUUACUGGGUGUAAAGGGAGCGUAGACGGCUAAUCAAGUCAGAAGUGAAAACCCAGGGCUCAACUUUGGGACUGCUUUUGAAACUGAGUAGCUAGAGUGCAGGAGAGGUAAGCGGAAUUCCUAGUGUAGCGGUGAAAUGCGUAGAUAUUAGGAGGAACACCAGUGGCGAAGGCGGCUUACUGGACUGUAACUGACGUUGAGGCUCGAAAGCGUGGGGAGCAAACAGGAUUAGAUACCCGUGUAGUC
rnacentral:rRNA from 1 species